rnacentral:rRNA from 1 species
UACGUAGGGACCAAGCGUUGUUCGGAUUUACUGGGCGUAAAGGGCGCGUAGGCGGCAAUUCAAGUCAUCUGUGAAAUCUCCGAGCUUAACUCGGAACGGUCAGAUGAUACUGUUUUGCUAGAGUACAGAAGGGGCAAUCGGAAUUCUUGGUGUAGCGGUGAAAUGCGUGGAUAUCAAGAGGAACACCUGAGGUGAAGACGGGUUGCUGGGCUGAUACUGACGCUGAGGCGCGAAAGCUAGGGUAGCAAACGGG